rnacentral:rRNA from 1 species
GACGAACGCUGGCGGCGUGCCUAAUACAUGCAAGUAGAACGCACAGUUUAUACCGUAGCUUGCUACACCAUAAACUGUGAGUUGCGAACGGGUGAGUAACGCGUAGGUAACCUGCCUGGUAGCGGGGGAUAACUAUUGGAAACGAUAGCUAAUACCGCAUAAUAUUGAUUAUUGCAUGAUAAUUGAUUGAAAGAUGCUAUUGCAUCACUACCAGAUGGACCUGCGUUGUAUUAGCUAGUAGGUGAGGUAACGGCUCACCUAGGCGACGAUACAUAGCCGACCUAAGAGGGUGAUCGGCCACACUGGGACCGAGACACGGCCCAGACUCCUACGGGAGGCAGCAGUAGGGAAUCUUCGGCAAUGGACGAAAGGCUGACCGAGCAACGCCGCGUGAGUGAAGAAGGUUUUCGGAUCGUAAAGCUCUGUUGUAAGAGAAGAACGGGUGUGAGAGUGGAAAGUUCACACUGUGACGGUAUCUUACCAGAAAGGGACGGCUAACUACGUG